GCGAAGCAGCGUCGUCUGCCUUUCCCUAUGCAAGCUGUGUAUCGCGCAACUGAACAUUUGCAACUAGUGCAUGGUGACUUGUGUGGCCCAAUCACACCAGAGACCCCCGGUGGCAAGAAGUAUUUUCUGCUCCUUGUCGAUGAUUACUCCCGGUAUAUGUGGGUAGUACUAUUGCGCAGCAAGGAUGAAGCACUGGGGGCCUUGAAAAAGAUUCAGAAAGCAGCUGAGACCGAACGAAAUCGGAAACUUAAGGCACUAAGGACUGACAGGGGUGGAGAGUUCACAUCAAAGGAAUUUGUGGAGCACUGUGAUGAACAUGGCAUCAAGCAUUUUCUCACGGCACCAUACACCCCGCAGCACAAUGGUGUCGUUGAGAGAAGAAAUCAGACUGUAGUUGGGAUGGCCAGGAGUCUUCUCAAGAGUUUGGGUGUGCCUGCAAAGUUUUGGGGAGAAGCUGUGUGCACUGCAGUGUAUCUCCUCAACAGAUCCACUACAAAAAGUGUGAAGAACAUGACCCCAUAU
rnacentral:rRNA from 1 species